rnacentral:rRNA from 1 species
CCUACGGGGGGCUGCAGUGGGGGAUAUUGCACAAUGGGGGAAACCCUGAUGCAGCGACGCCGCGUGGGUGAAGAAGCGCCUCGGCGCGUAAAGCCCUGUCAGCAGGGAAGAAAAUGACGGUACCUGAAGAAGAAGCCCCGGCUAACUACGUGCCAGCAGCCGCGGUAAUACGUAGGGGGCAAGCGUUAUCCGGAUUUACUGGGUGUAAAGGGGGCGCAGGCGGCGAAGCAAGCCAGGAGUGAAAGCCCGGGGCCCAACCCCGGGACUGCACUUGGAACUGCGUGGCUAGAGUGCCGGAGGGGCAGGCGGAAUUCCUGGUGUAGCGGUAAAAUGCGUAGAGAUCAGGAGGAACACCGGUGGCGAAGGCGACCUGCUGGACUGCAACUGACGUUGAGGCCCGAAAGCGUGGGGAGCAAACAGGAUUAGAUACCCUUCUAGUC